UACGAGAGGUCCAAACGUUAUUCGGAAUCACUGGGCUUACAGAGUUCGUAGGCGGUCCAGAAAGUGGGGUGUGAAAGCCCUCGGCUUAACCGAGGAACUGCGCUCCAAACUACUGGGCUGGAGGAGGAUAGAGGUGAGCAGAACUGAUGGUGGAGCGGUGAAAUGCGUUGAUAUCAUCAGGAAUACCGGAGGCGAAGGCGGCUCACUGGGUCUUUUCUGACGCUGAGGAACGAAAGCUAGGGGAGCAAACGGG
rnacentral:rRNA from 1 species